rnacentral:lncRNA from 10 species
AGUUAAAUCUAAGAAGGAGAAAUGACAAAUGUAAAGUCAGGCAGAGUUAAUAACCACCCCAUUUCACCCCACUACCCCCACUCCAAAAUGAUAAAAAGUUUUAAACUGCAUAAAGAAUGGAGGUAACAAGGCUUCACUUGCCUUUAGGUUCAAUGUGAGUCAACAGACAAUAGAAGGUAGAUGUAAAUUUUUAAAAAAGUGAGACAGGAGAGU